ACGAGAAUUUUUCACAAUGGGCGCAAGCCUGAUGGAGCGACGCCGCGUGGGGGAUGAAUGGCUUCGGCCCGUAAACCCCUGUCAUUUGCGAUCAACCGUUGUUGUUUAAGAGAUGACAACCUGAUAGUAGCGAAAGAGGAAGGGACGGCUAACUCUGUGCCAGCAGCCGCGGUAAUACAGAGGUCCCAAGCGUUGUUCGGAUUCACUGGGCGUAAAGGGUGCGUAGGCGGUAUGACAAGUCUAACGUGAAAUGCUGGAGCUCAACUCCGGAACUGCGUAGGAAACUGUCAUGCUAGAGGGUUGGAGGGGGGACUGGAAUUCUCGGUGUAGCAGUGAAAUGCGUAGAUAUCGAGAGGAACACCCGUGGCGAAGGCGAGUCCCUAGACAACUCCUGACGCUGAGGCACGAAAGCUAGGGGAGCAAACA
rnacentral:rRNA from 1 species